CUGAAGAGCCUUCUACCUCUGGCAUUUAAAGCGUGCUGGAGCGAGGGGAAAGGCUCUUAUAGGGCCACGAGGGGCAGAGGUGGGGGGUUCCUAAGCCUGGGAGCAGCAAGGCCUUUUGAGGUGUGGGUUCUGCCUGAGCACAGCAUCAGGGAUCUGUGAGCAUGAUCUGGAGGACCCUGGGUGGGAUGGGGAAGCGUUUAUCCAAGGGGCCGCCGACUUUCCUGCCCUCAGCCCCCUCUUGCUGCCUCUGCCUAUCUGUCCUGUUCCUGGGGGUCAAGUGUCUCAGAGGAUCUUGGAGAUCUGGUGACCGCCCCCUCGCACUGAAGCGGCUAAAGGCAGACCAUGGACUAGACCCGCCGGAGGGGCUGGCACUGCCCCCACCCCCUCUGCCAGCCGACGCCACUUGCUAAAAACAGCCGGGCCCGGGGCCUUUCAGGCCACCCCUCCAGGCCCGGGCAGGUAUUAGAGGCCGAAGCUGGGCCAGGCGAGCUGGACACCAUGCUGUUCACAGAGACCGCCCACUUCGUGGUGAAUUUCCUUCUGUCCCGGCAGCCCCGGGCCACGACCCCGCAUCGCCUGGACCAGGUGUUGUGUUUCUGGGGCUGCCGAGGCCCGGUCCUGCCGGCGCCCGCCUCCCGCCGCAGCCUGGCCGACCACUGGCUGAGCCCGCAGCGCCGCGCCGCCGGGCGCCGCCUGCUGCUGGCCGGCGCGCAACCUGCUGCCCCCACCGGGGGCCACCAGCCGGGCCAGCCGCUGCGGAGCGCGCCCGCGCCUCCCGUGGAAGCACCAGUGGCAGAAUAUUAACUACCAACUCCUGGGCAAGAGGAAGAGCCAUCUGGUUCCCCUGCGCCCGUGAGAGCGAAUGUGAGGAAACAGGCUCCAGGUUCAUCACAUGGUGGUCCCAAGGCCGACUUGUGCAAGCCAGGAUGACAGGAGGACGGCGUGGGAGCACUGCUCAAUCCCGUAGCCCUUCCCUGUGGCUGAAGAUGAUCCACCUUCGCCCUGUCUCCUGAGGUCUCCGUGUUUCUGCCCUUCACGGCCCAAAUAAAGCAGCUUUUGCCUCUCUCUGGCCCUCUCCACUUUGCAGGUCAACAGAUAUUUACUGAGCACCCUCUAUUGGAAAAUAACCCUGAGACAGUGGAGAACAGCUGGAGGGGAUGGACUGGUGACAGAGAGACAAGUGAGAAGGCUGAUGAAAUGGCACAGGCCCUGGCCCAGCAUCAGAGCCCUUUGUGGACGCCUCCAACUGGACCUAGCACUGCGAUGCUCCUCAGAGCUCCUGCAAACCACCUUCUGCCAGUUCUGAC
rnacentral:lncRNA from 1 species